GUGCAAGACAUGGAAUGCGUGUAAUACAGCUAAGAAGCCAACGAAUAAAAACGUGCGAUCCCCCAAAACAUUUUCAUAAACGCUCGCACUUUCUCUCAACCUUCCCAAGAACCAAUUUGAUAUUAUCCAAACCCAUAAAAAAACCCUCGCAUCAAAUUCAGCUGAUUUCACUCCUCACAAACUCUUUCCCCAAGAAAAUACAAGCAUGGGAAGCAAGGCGCCAGGCUGGGCUGAUCAGUGGGGUUCAGGAAGUUUCAGCAAGGAAGACGAUGAGAAAUUCAUGGCGAAAAUAGGGCAUAACAAUGGUAACGCCAGCAAGAAGAUGGCGGGGGUCAAGGCAGCAGCUUCAACAGGACUCGACAAGGCCAAGACAGCUGCUCAGAAGGUAAAGAGUGGAACUUCGGUGGGUAUCAAAUGGGUCAAGAACAAGUACCAGAAGAAGACUUCAAAAUAAUUUGUAGAGCACUGAAAAAUGGCAUACUGGAAUAGGCUGGAUGGUAACGGAGGGGUUAAAAAAAGACCUAGACAGGAUGAUCUACAAAUCCGUGGAGAUACAUUUAUAUACGAUAUUCCUUUCUUUUUUCUGUUACAAUGAAAAAUGAAAAAUGUUUUUUUUUUUUUUUUUCAUUAUGCGAAAGAUCCCUUCCGAACUCUUCAAAAUUCAAUUAAGCCGAUCUCGAAUUAUUUGGUCA